AGCUCCAAUAGCGUAUAUUUAAGUUGUUGCAGUUAAAAAGCUCGUAGUUGGAUUUCGGUUGAGAGCGGCCGGUCCGCCGUUUGGUGUGCACUGGCUGGUCUCAGCUUCCUGCGGAGGACGCACUCUGGGGCUAACGCUUCGGAUGUGGAGUCCGCGUGGUUACUUUGAAAAAAUUAGAGUGUUCAAAGCGGGCUUACGCUUGCAUACUUCAGCAUGGAAUAACACUAUAGGACUCCUGUCCUAUUUCGUUGGUCUCGGGACGGGAGUAAUGAUUAAGAGGAACAGUUGGGGGCAUUCGUAUGAAAGUGCUAGAGGUGAAAUUCUUGGAUUUCUUUCAGACGAACUUCUGCGAAAGCAUUUGCCAAGGAUGUUUUCAUUA
rnacentral:rRNA from 1 species